UACGUAGGGGGCAAGCGUUGUCCGGAUUUAUUGGGCGUAAAGAGCGUGUAGGCGGCCAAGCAGGUCCGCUGUGAAAACUCGAGGCUCAACCUCGAGAGGUCGGUGGAAACCGUUUGGCUAGAGUCCGGAAGAGGAGAGUGGAAUUCCCGGUGUAGCGGUGAAAUGCGCAGAUAUCGGGAAGAACACCCGUGGCGAAGGCGGGUCUCUGGGCCGAGACUGACGCUGAGGCGCGAAAGCGUGGGGAGCAAACAGG
rnacentral:rRNA from 1 species